AUACAAAUAGUAUAGAAAAAUACAUUAGAUUUAGGUUCUAAAGAAAGAGGUGUAUU
rnacentral:tRNA from 1 species